rnacentral:rRNA from 1 species
CCUACGGGCGGCAGCAGUGAGGAAUAUUGGUCAAUGGACGAGAGUCUGAACCAGCCAAGUAGCGUGAAGGAUGACUGCCCUAUGGGUUGUAAACUUCUUUUAUAUGGGAAUAAAAUGUUCCACGUGUGGGAUUUUGUAUGUACCAUAUGAAUAAGGAUCGGCUAACUCCGGGCCAGCAGCCGCGGUAAUACGGAGGAUCCGAGCGUUAUCCGGAUUGAUUGGGUUUAAAGGGAGCGUAGGUGGAUUGUUAAGUCAGUUGUGAAAGUUUGCGGCUCAACCGUAAAAUUGCAGUUGAAAAUGGCAGUCUUGAGUACAGUAGAGGUGGGCGGAAUUCGUGGUGUAGCGGUGAAAUGCUUAGAUAUCACGAAGAACUCCGAUUGCGAAGGCAGCUCACUGGACUGCAACUGACACUGAGGCUCGAAAGUGUGGGUAUCAAACAGGAUUAGAUACCCCGGUAGUC